rnacentral:rRNA from 1 species
AUGGCCCCCCCGGUGCGCGAGGCCGACGGCCACGCGGCCGUCGACCACACCGACAGGAGCCUGUCGGAGGUCAACGGCUUCCUGGUCGCGGCCCAUCGCGACAAAGGCGCCUCCGUUGUAAGGCUAUGGUUCUGGAUGAACGUUGACGUGGAGAAUUGUAAGUGGUUCGCGCUGUACAAGAUCCCCAUGGCGGGCCUCGAGGGAGUCAGCAGCUUCGAGAAGCCAUUGCGGGUGCUGGACGAUGGGAGGGUCGUCGUGUGGUCGUCGAUGGAUGGGUCCCGUGACGGCGCGCCGCAGAUAUAUGACCCGAGCACGGAGACGUUCGCGCAAGGGGCGGUGACGGCCAACUGCUACGCCGUCGGUGCAUACACCGGAUGCUUGCUGCGCGUUGGGAGGAGCUCUGAGUUGCUGGAUGCAGGGACUUCACAUGGUCUGAGUAGAACAAUCGAGUAUGCCUAUGGCAGGUGCCGGCAUGCCGCCGUAAGAAGGCACUAG